rnacentral:ncRNA from 1 species
GGAGCCAGCGGCCGAAGGUGGGGUUGGUGAUUGGGGUGAAGUCGUAACAAGGUAGCCGUAGGAGAACCUGCGGCUGGAUCACCUCCUUU